AUAAUGUGCAUGGGUUACAUAUGUCCGCUAGAAAGUUAUCUGUAAGCUAACCCAUGUCGGAAAGUCAACUUUCGGACGUCGAAUAUCUUUAAGAUGCUUUUUUGGUGGACAUAUGUAACACAUUCGGAUGACUUUUUCGUAACAUCGAAAAGAUUGCUACCUGGGCGUUUGCAGUUGACGAUCUCUGGUACUUGACCCCCGUGUGAUGUGUAAAUUCAACCAAGGAAGAAAAUCAAGUCGCGCGUACAUUCUUCGACUGUCUGUUGGAAGUACGUAACAGUUGCAAGGUAAG